rnacentral:rRNA from 1 species
UACAGAGGAUGCAAGCGUUAUCCGGAAUGAUUGGGCGUAAAGCGUCUGUAGGUGGCUUUUUAAGUCCGCCGUCAAAUCCCAUGGCUCAACUCUGGACAGGCGGUGGAAACUACCAAGCUGGAGUACGGUAGGGGCAGAGGGAAUUUCCGGUGGAGCGGUGAAAUGCGUAGAGAUCGGAAAGAACACCAACGGCGAAGGCAGUGUCCUGGGGAGUACCUGACGCUCAGGUGCGAAAGCCAGGGGAGCGAACGGG